UAAUCAUGGCGGACGGGUGAGUAACGCGUAAAGAACUUGCCCUCUAGACUGGGAUAACAGUUGGAAACGACUGAUAAGACUGGAUGAGCAGUAUUAUUCGCAUGAAUGAUAUUGGAAAAGAGAUGCUAGAGGAGAGCUUUGCGUCCUAUUAGCUAGUUGGUGGGGUAAAGGCUCACCAAGGCGAUGAUAGGUAGCCGGCCUGAGAGGGUGGACGGCCACAAGGGGACUGAGAUACGGCCCUU
rnacentral:rRNA from 1 species